AUUGAACGCUGGCGGCAGGCCUAACACAUGCAAGUCGAGCGGUAGCACAGAGAGCUUGCUCUCGGGUGACGAGCGGCGGACGGGUGAGUAAUGUCUGGGAAACUGCCUGAUGGAGGGGGAUAACUACUGGAAACGGUAGCUAAUACCGCAUAACGUCGCAAGACCAAAGUGGGGGACCUUCGGGCCUCAUGCCAUCAGAUGGCCCCGGAUGGGAUUAGCUAGUAGGUGGGGUAACGGCUCACCUAGGCGACGAUCCCUAGCUGGUCUGAGAGGAUGACCAGCCACACUGGAACUGAGACACGGUCCAGACUCCUACGGGAGGCAGCAGUGGGGAAUAUUGCACAAUGGGCGCAAGCCUGAUGCAGCCAUGCCGCGUGUGUGAAGAAGGCCUUCGGGUUGUAAAGCACUUUCAGCGGGGAGGAAGGCGAUAAGGUUAAUAACCUUGUCGAUUGACGUUACCCGCAGAAGAAGCACCGGCUAACUCCGUGCCAGCCGCCGCGGUAA
rnacentral:rRNA from 1 species